rnacentral:lncRNA from 1 species
GAUACUGUAUGGUAGCUUUUUUGUUUUUGGAUGGAAUUUCCAGUUCGUGAAGCAGAGAGGAGGGGGUAUCGUAAGGGGGAGAUUUUCUCCCCCUUCUGCGUUCAGUGUCGAGGCCAAGGUGGGGGUAGAGUCCAAUUAAGACUUCCAUGAAAAGUCUCAUUCAUGUUGAUUGAGGAGUUUCUUACUGAGCACUAAACCUUCUCUACUUUUGAAGAUAGACUGGAAAGCAAACUCAGAGAAUAGCUAAGUGAAAGUCAGAGACUCCAUUUUUUAGGAACUUAGACUACCUAUGUGCUGGUAAACUCCACCUAGACUGAGAUUCAUCAGUUCGAUCAUUUAGUUUGUGUCCUAAGUUCUAUAUCCUUCAGGAAAGGAUCAAUUCCUUCUCUAACUUCUACUUGGGGUCACUCCUCGGAAAGAUUCUUCAUUCGAGUUAGCUUCUUUCACUCCUUCACCCUUGACUGCAUUCCCGGAAAUGCCAUUCCCAUCCGCUAAACCUGCUCCUUCUGAGAAUGGUUUUACCCCGCUCUUCAAUCUUAUUCUGUUUCCGAUCCUGCUUCAGAUUCUCUUUCAGUUGUGGAAACAAGCCCUUAUUCCUAUCGGUUGAGUAGCCCAAGCUCCUUAAGAGCGUAUUGUCCCUUUUCCUGUGAAAGAAAGAGGUUGAUGCACCCAGCUACCCGAAGUAGAGCUGUCUUUGUCCCACCUUUCCUUACUGACUUUCCUAGUUUAGAUAGCGUAUUGAGAAUCAUGUCAAAAUACACCAAGACCUGGGCCCAGGUUCUCUUUCUUCAAGAAAGGGUAGCUUUAAACAACCCGCUUCCAAACACACCAAACAAGCAAGUGACUCCCCUUCCUUAGCGUACCCGUCCAUUAAGGCAUUCUUCCUUCUUGCGUAUGUGUUAUAGCUCUAAGCCCCAGUUCCUUGGUGAAAAGAGCUGUCGCCUUUAAAUCAUCGAAAAAAAAAGAAGGAACCGCUCGAAAGGGACUACACAACAAUGGCUCAUAACUGGAAAACAUAACAACAAUGUCUCCUAGCUGCAAAAAACUGGCUCCCAACUGAAAAUUUCUCUCGAUCACUCUCUAACAGAAAGCCAUUUUCCCUUUCGCAAAAAGUCAACUUGGACUUCUUUCCUAAGCGGAGAUUUGGACUACAUGGACCUAAGCAACCCGCCGACAGGGGCAGCCUUUCACUGUUGGAAACUUUGAUUUAGAUUGGUAGGAUUCUGUCUAAUCUUUCCUAAUUUAGAAAUUGCACUCAAUCAACAUAGUUUCCACUCAUUCCUUCUCGACCGCCUCUUUUCUAGUCACUUUUGAUCAAAUCUUUCUUGUGAUUUUCUAUUCUCUUAUGAGAAAUGGUUUGCUUCGUUUGAGCCGUCGUCGCUUAAUGCAUGUAGGGGGACUGGGGCAUUUCCCCCACGACCCCUUUUAUUUUAAAGGAGAACCAGAAGAACAACAAUGAACUCAAAGCUAAUGAAGGAGAUCCGCAACUUGAACAAGGUACACGAGAUCAUUCCUACCCCUUUCUAUUUCGACUUCUUUGAAAGGUGAAAGAGUAAGAAGCUAGACCGACUUGCUCUUAAAUUAAAAGCAGCAAGAGCAAGUAAGUAGGCUUUUCUCCGCAAGAACAAUCUUGACUUUCUUUAUACUUUCUUUAUAAUAUAAGGCCCUUUAAACGAUCGUAAAUGGCAUUGUACCUAUUUGGAGCUUUUCACAGUCAAAGUCAAACGUUUGUCGGUGGCAACAUCGGCAUGCGUUA